rnacentral:rRNA from 1 species
UUGUUGCGGUUAAAACGUUCGUAGUUGAAUUUGUGUCCCACACGGGUAAUUGGCCCACUUACGGGUUCUUAUUACUUGCCGGCUUGCUGGCUUUAGUGUGCGGACGUUUUACCGGUGAGGGAAACGGUGUAGUUUCGGCUGCAAUACGCCCCUUAUUUAUUUCAUAAACCCGUCUUGGUGCUUUUAAUCGAGUGCCAAUGUGGGCCGGUACUAUUACUUUGAACAAAUUAGAGUGCUUAAAGCAGGCUAAAUUUAAUGAAAGUUAAAACGCCUGAAUAUAUUUUGCAUGGAAUAAUGGAAUAGGACCUCUGUUCUACUUUCAUUGGUUUUUAGACCAAGAGGUAAUGAUUAAUAGAAGCAGUUGGGGGCAUUAGUAUUACGAGGCGAGAGGUGAAAUUCGUAGACCCUCGUAAGACUAACUUAAGCGAAAGCAUUUGCCAAGGAUGUUUUCAUUAAUCAAGAACGAAAGUUAGAGGAUCGAAGGCGAUCAGAUACCGCCCUAGUUCUAACCAUAAACGAUGCCAGCUAGCAAUUGUAUGUAGCUACUAAUUUUGGUUCAUACAGUCGCUGUCCGGGAAACCAAAGCUUUUGGGCUCCGGGGGAAGUAUGGUUGCAAAGCUGAAACUUA